UAGAUGUGGUGGGCGGGGUCUGAGGU
rnacentral:piRNA from 1 species